GCGCCUGUAGCUCAGUGG
rnacentral:siRNA from 1 species